rnacentral:rRNA from 1 species
UGGGGAAUAUUGGACAAUGGGGGCAACCCUGAUCCAGCCAUGCCGCGUGUGUGAAGAAGGCCUUCGGGUUGUAAAGCACUUUAAGCGAGGAGGAAGGUUUACUAGCUAAUACCUAGUAGAAUUGACGUUACUCGCAGAAUAAGCACCGGCUAACUCUGUGCCAGCAGCCGCGGUAAUACAGAGGGUGCAAGCGUUAAUCGGAAUUACUGGGCGUAAAGCGCGCGUAGGCGGUAUGUUAAGUCGGAUGUGA